rnacentral:rRNA from 1 species
CCUACGGGUGGCAGCAGUGGGGGAUAUUGCACAAUGGGGGAAACCCUGAUGCAGCGACGCCGCGUGGGUGAAGAAGUAUUUCGGUAUGUAAAGCCCUAUCAGCAGGGAAGAAAGAAGACGGUACCUGACUAAGAAGCCCCGGCUAACUACGUGCCAGCAGCCGCGGUAAUACGUAGGGGGCGAGCGUUAUCCGGAUUCACUGGGUGUAAAGGGAGCGUAGACGGCCGUGCAAGCCAGGAGUGAAAGCCCGGGGCCCAACCCCGGGACUGCUCGUGGAACUGUGCGGCUGGAGUGCGGGAGGGGCAGGCGGAAUUCCUGGUGUAGCGGUGAAAUGCGUAGAUAUCAGGAGGAACACCGGCGGCGAAGGCGGCCUGCUGGACCGCGACUGACGUUGAGGCUCGAAAGCGUGGGGAGCGAACAGGAUUAGAUACCCUUGUAGUC